UAGCCAGUACUCCUCCUGCAGCUCCCCGCGCCACGUCUCCAGGGGCUUGCAGCACCUGCACCCGGAUCCUCCCAGCUUCCUACUUUGGCCUCAUUUGGACGGAAAGGCACUGCCUGCCUCACAGCCCUGAAAGGGACAGCAGGAGCGAGGGUUGUCAGGGGAGGCCAGAGCCGAGGGUGCUGAGGAGCGCCUGCGCAGCAGCCCGAGUGUGUGGAUGCCGAGGGGGGCCAGAGGGCAGCCGCCACCCCUGCCCCCAGCUGCCGGGAUGGAGAUGGCGCAGGCUGCCAGGCCGGCCGCAGCAGUGCUGGGAGCUGCUUAUCAGACAGUUACACACACGUACCACCCCAAAGCUUGUGAGGCGCAAGAGAAACAACACUCACUUCCGUGCCCGGCGCUUAGUAGGUGCUGUGACUGCGCCCACCAUCGCCCUCAGUCUCGGUGUUUCCUCUGAGGCACGGCUCCAAUCUCCACAAUUGUUCCUUAUGCAAAUAUUAUGCUAAUGAGCACGUCAGCGCACCACUCUGCCCGGCUCCGGGAAGGUGAAGGGCGGGCUGGUUCCCCUGUUUCUCGACCAAGCCUGUCCCUUUCUUCCCUCAAGAGGAGCAAAUCCUGAUCCUCCUCCAACACCAGUCCUCAGCGCAGAGAGAGACCCGAGGUGUAGAGAGGAACAAUGAAAGGCCCAGCCUUGGUGGGAGAUGGACAGCUUCGUCACUGUCACAGCCAUAAUCAUCACCCUCAAAAAAGCCUUUGCAAACGUCAGAUUCUUCCCCACCCUGCGCGGACUCCUCUGCAAUUACAGAGGCGCUCCCCCCGAAACCCCCCAUUCCCCAGCCCCCACCCCCCACACACACCCCCGCCUUGGGGAGAUGGAGCCAGGCUGGGGCCAGGGGAGGGAGGGGUGAGUAGGGACAGGAGAACUCACAGGCUCCAGAUGCCAAGGAGCUUCUUCUUAGGGUUCUCCUUGAGGGCAGCGGCCCUGCUCACCCCUCCCCCAGCAUCAAAGCUGCGGCGAAUGCUGGCCUCACCGUGGAGUCAGGAAGCUGUGAUCACGGCCAUUCUUGCCCUGUUGUUCUUUUAUUGCCGGCCUUGUUUGCUCAGCUAUAAGAUGGGUACCAUAGUUUCGCCUGUCCAGGUUACUAUAAAAACACAAUCGUGCAGGUUCAAUGAAAGGCGAUUCUAACAGGGGAUCGAACUGGUAGCCAGGGGAAGGAAGGCAAUGCCUCCCCCAGGUCCUAGGCCCACAUCAGCAGGGAGGUGAGGGAAUGCCUGGCCCACCUUGCACCUGAUCAAUUCUGUGGACCAAUGCAAAGAAUAAAAUCAAAGGACGCGUGCAGUCCCAACGAAGUGGGUUUGAGAUGGGGGUCCCCGCUGAGCAUGUCACCUGCCCUCUGGGCUGACAUUGAAGCUCUCCUCUGGAGACUGUAAACACACAUGGGGGCUGGGGGUCACAGACAGCGGCAGGUGCUGUGGGCACGGGCGCAGCAGCAGGCCGGGGAUGUGCUGACGCUGCCUGUCCGGGUCUGGGCUGAAACACGCAGGCCUGUAGACAGCUCCCCUGGAGAACCCUCCUGCCCCUUCUUGUCCCCAAGAGACAGCACUGCACCCACCCCGAGGCAGGCCAGCCCCUGGGGACAUUGUAGGUGCUCAACUACAGGAUGGGCCUGGGGAGGGAACCCAGAGGAUGCUACCAGAUCAACCCAGACUGCAGGGAGCAGGCAGCCAGCAGUCGCCAGACAAGGGGGGCCACUCAGUUAUGGUGGGGGUUGGGGUGGGGAUCAUGAAGAGAGAGAUACUUCUUGCACCCUUUCUUUCCUCCCACUGGCCUUCUCCAGAUCCAGAGGGCUGGGGCGCCUCCUGGUACCUGCCAGGGUCUCUGCAUCCCAUCCCCAAUUAGGGCCUGGCCCCUCCCCUUCUCGCCUCCCUCCUGGAACCCCCACAGCCCUUUAUCUGCACCUCCAUUAUGUCCUGAUGCCUAUCGGCAUGGAGCCCAAAUUAGAGCUCUUUCUGCCCAAGCCUUAUCUCCUCCAUGGGGUUCUCAGCUCCUCAGGGCAGGCUUCUCCUGCCGCUGCUGGAUCCCUGGGGCUGGGGCAGAAGCCCGGGUCCAGUGAGGGAGGCUUAGGACGCACUUAAAAUGGGGGGUAGUAGUGGAGAGGAGGCUGCGAGUGAGAGAGGGGGUGAGAAAAAAAGGAAGGAAAGAAGAGGGAGGCAGCCAGCUCAAAGAAGGGAGAGAGAGGGUGAUCGGGAACGCAGCAUGUCCCAGCCUCAAAGAUGAGGUGGCCACGCCAAAGCCUGGUCCUCCCACCCCAUGUCAGCUCCCCCUACCCUCCUCUCCCCUCCCGGGAGCCAUCCACGGGGUAGGGGCCAGGCAGGAGCCAAGCCAAGCCAGGGAGCACGGCCAGGAAGGAGUCGGCAAAGCAGAUGCCGCCCCUCUCCUGCUGCCUUGAUUAGAGAAAUUGAGAUGUUAAUAAUAUUCUGAGAUGCAAGGUGCUAAUUAAAGUUAAUUACUGUUUCCUUGUGAAGUAACCUCUCCUCGUGUUUACCAGGAACAAGGCUGCCAGCCGCUCCCCUGGCUCGUGCCAAUCACGAUGCCCGCUGCUUGGUGUACCCCACACCCUCACAGGUGCCCUCGGCUGCCCCAGCCGAGCCAAGCCGAGCCCAAGCAGGCACUAGGAUGUGAAGUUCCCAGGCCCUGCCUAUUGGCAGAGAACCAGGCCAUCCCUGCCAAGCAGCACGGGCACACAGGAGCAUGAAUGACCGCGGGGGCCUGGGAACACCCCUGUCCUCAGUCUCCUCCCCUCCUGCAGGCUUGCCCUGUCCUUUCCUGCUCCUUGACCUGGAGCUAGUUACAUGACCUCUUUUUUUUUUUUUUUU